rnacentral:rRNA from 1 species
UACGUAGGGUGCGAGCGUUAAUCGGAAUUACUGGGCGUAAAGUGUGCGCAGGCGGCCGAGCAAGUCGAGUGUGAAAGCCCCGGGCUUAACUUGGGAAUUGCGCUCGAAACUACUUGGCUGGAGUGUGGCAGAGGAAGGUGGAAUUCCAGGUGUAGCGGUGAAAUGCGUAGAGAUCUGGAGGAACACCGAUGGCGAAGGCGGCCUUCUGGGCCAACACUGACGCUCAUGCACGAAAGCGUGGGGAGCAAACAGG